rnacentral:rRNA from 1 species
AUACAGAGGGUGCGAGCGUUAAUCGGAAUUACUGGGCGUAAAGCGCGCGUAGGCGGCUUCGCAAGUCGGGUGUGAAAUCCCCAGGCUUAACCUGGGAACUGCACUCGAGACUGCGUUGCUAGAGUAUGGGAGAGGGAAGUGGAAUUUCCGGUGUAGCGGUGAAAUGCGUAGAUAUCGGAAGGAACAUCAGUGGCGAAAGCGACUUCCUGGACCAAUACUGACGCUCAUGUGCGAAAGCGUGGGGAGCAAACAGGAUUAGAUACCCUGGUAGUCCACGCCAUAAACGAUGACAACUGGAUGUCGGGAGGGUCUGCCUCUCGGUGUCGUAGCUAACGCGUUAAGUUGUCCGCCUGGGGAGUACGGCCGCAAGGUUGAA